CAGAUUGAGGUCCCCCGCAGUGAGAGAGGGAGUGGGGCUGAGGCAGGGGCAGGCACUGCCCAGCUGAAGUGGGGCAGGACGUGAGACGGAGCCGCAGCUCAUCCGAGGGUAGCAGGGAGGGAAGGGGUGGCUCCCGCUCCUGCACGCGUCCCCAGGGCGGGCUUGUGUCCCCCGGAUCUGUGUGCGGGGUGAGGGCAGGCUGCCGCCGGGGGCUCGGCUGGGCUGGGGCUGCGCUCAGGCCAGGUGAGAAGGACAGUGGCGGCAGCAGCAGCAGUGAAAGGGGUAGCUACAGGUGGGGGAGCUACAGCCACCCCAUAAUUUGCCAUAGCCCCCCCUCCCAGCACUGCCGCCUGCCAUGCCCAAACACAGCCACACUGGGAAGAGCUUGGUGCAGCUUCCAGCCCCCAGUGGCAGUGGCAGCAUCAGCCCAAGGAUGCAGCUAAUGAGGGGUUUGGGCUGGUGAGACAAUGCACUGAGUUAUUAGCUCUUUUGAGGGACUCUGGCUGUUCUCAGUGCAGUUCUGACAAGUCUGGAGUAUAUGGUUAUGCAAAUUAAUAUUUUAAUCAAUCUUUUGAAGUGUCCAAGGAGCUGCUUCAAAAUUAUGGAUAUUUUCUGAUGUGAAAAAUAUCUGUUAAACUAUUUAACUUUUUAAUUGUGAAUUGAAGGUUGUGGUUACUAUAUAUGUCCAUUCUGAUCUUUAAAAAAAAUUAGAAACACAAAGUCUGUGAGAGACUUAUUAUGCCUGCUGGACUACCUGGGACUAUGGGGGGCAAUUAAGGAAGAGAGAGAAUUAAAAAGAAAUAAAACAACUUCUGCUCAUCAGUUCUCAUCCCAAAGGAUGUCGAAGUUUUUGUUUCUCCUUUUAGAUAAUACGGAGGAGGUAAGUUUGGAGAUUUUGGUGCCAGGAGAUCAAGUGCUAGAAUAAAGUGGUAUAUUAAAGACCGUUAAAUCACUAGUACCACUAGUACCACAUAGCAUUCAUUCAGGAGCUGUAAAGAAUGAGAUGACUGAGCUUGUCUUGCAUUUAAAAGCUUGUCUAACUUGAUCUUAACUACAUAGUGGAUCCAGUAAAAAAUAUCACCCUAAGAAACUCUUGCCUCUCUCCUAAGAAAAAUACAGUCUCAUUAAAAUCACCUAUUAUAACAGAGGGUUGUAAACUAUACCUUACUUUUAAAACAGGGCUGAAUGGUGGUCCUGGCUGGCCCCACACACAGAAUACGCGGCAGCCUACAUCAAUGACAUCAUAUACUCGCCAACCUGGACGCACCACAAGCAAGCCCUCCGGGCCGUAUUGUCGGAAUUAAGGCGGGCCGGACUUACAGCAAACCCACGGAAAUGCGCCUUAGCAAAAAGAGAGACCAAAUACCUGGGAUUCCUGGUGGGUAGAGGCACUAUCAGACCCCUGGCCGAUAAAGUCGAAACAGUGCGAAAUUUCCCAGCCCCUCAAAAUUGCCGUCAGCUCUGAUCAUUCCUGGGGCUGACCAACUAUUACCGGAGGUUCGUGCCCCACUUCUCAGAACUGACGGCUCCCUUGACAGAAGCAUUAAAGGGGAGGAAAAAUGGGACAGUAAGGUGGACAGAGCACAUGAAGCAAUGCUUCAGGAAAUUAAAACAGGCCCUCUGCGAGGAUGUGAUAAUGCAUACUCCUAACUUUGGGAAAACUUUCGUUUUGCAGACGGACGCCUCCGAAACAGCAGUGGGAGCCGUCCUCACGCAGGAGGAAAAAGGAAUAGAAAGACCGAUAGCAUACGCCAGCCGCAAGUUGACACCGGCAGAAAAAAGAGCCCUUGCUUUCUGUAAGUGCCUUCGUUGCAUCCCAAGAAGGAAAGCUGCUGCGUCAUUGAACCAGGUAGUCUCCAGCGUGCCACCCUGCCCAGAUUUCUUCCAAGGAAGGAAUAGUGGAUGUGAUCUCUGCAAAAAGAAAGCUUGUCUGGUAAAGAGCACUUUUCCUCUUUCAGUAGCUUUUGACAUUAAAGCAAAGAACUCUCAAUACCAUAUUUUAUGUACUUUUGAAAAAUGGGCUGUUUACUUCGUUCUGUCUGUGCGGGAUAUGCAGAUUGAGGACUGUACUGUGUUAUACACAAACAUCUGCAACCCUGGGUAGAGUAUGUAAUGAUGUAAACGUUACAGUCCACGUGCUUGCACAGAGCAUUGCAUAGAAACUAGAAGAGUUUGUGCCAGAGCUAGGGGCACAGGAGUGGCUUUUUAAGAACUGUCCUUAUGUCUGUUUCUUUUAGUUUGUAGAGGUUAAAACUUUCUGAAACAUUAUGCAAAGCUGAGGUAUUGCACCCCUGCUAAUACAGUAUGUAAAUAUUCUCAUUAAAUUUGGGGGGCAUAUUUCACCAUUUUGACAUAUAGCAGUGCUAUAGUAGGGGCAUCACAAAGAGCAAUCUAUACCUGCAGCAAUGAUGAAGCAGUUAUAUUUCAGACAUAACAUCAUUCUUUGUAAAAAUGGUCCUCACUCUCUCUAGGCUAAAACAUCACGGCCACCUGUGAAGUCGGUUAUGCUACAGUCAAAAAUGCAGUUGAAAGGGAUUUCUUCUUUCCUUUUAUUUUUGUUAACUUACGGAGGAGGAAAUAAUUUCAGUUCGCUUUAGGAAUCGGUCUUUCCUUUGCACCUGUUUUUCCUAAGUUAGUCCUUGGAACAAUACCGGCUCAAUUAUAGUGAAGUAAUAUCAUGCAUUUUGAGCUUGGGGAAUCCACAGACCGUGUAAUUCUCUGGAUUUCCUCCCCCUUCCUUGCAUCCCACUUUUUGACAGUGUCUUUCUGCUGGAGCUAUGCUGGAAAACCUUGCAAGCUUGCGUGUGCGUGUGUGUGCGCAUGUAUGUGUGUGUCCACACAUGCUGCAUGGAAAAUCCUACACUUUGUUUAGUCUGCAGAACCUCUUCUGUUAGCUGAUGCUCCAGGCUCCGCAAAGGUGCAGUGAGAGAGGAGCACUAGUAAGUACCUAAGGCAGAAAGCAAACAAGGGCUUUAUCACUGGUCUUUAACUCCUAUCAAAAGGGGAGUGAGGGAGAAGUCAUUUAAACAUGAGGCUUGAAUGAAAAUUAGCAUGGAUUAGUCACAGUUGUCCCAGGAGUCCUGUUAUCUCAGGUCACAGGUACUUAUGGUAGGGAGUGGGGUACUUUACCUCUAGGAUCCCCAAAUGAAAGACUCUUGAGGGAGCCAAGAGGGGGAGGAAGAGUCCUGGGUCUGUUUUUAGCCAAAGGGAAUUACCCUUGAGGCAUGGCAGGAGUAGUGUGUGUCUCCCUGUCUUUUCCCAGUGGAUGAGCUCCUGGGCAGUUCAUGCAUGGAGGAAGGAUGACUCUCUAGCCUGUUCCCCACAGGUAAACUGCAACAAAUUGAACUGAUUUGGAGAAACAAGUGGGUUAUGUCUGAGCAGCUUCCUUGUUUGGUAGUCAGUUGGCUGAAGAGUGGUUGAUGCUGAUGUUACUUAAUACUAAAUUUACCCUUCUGUGGCCCCUGGCAGAGAGAUCGGGGCAUUCAUCCUCCACUUUGCACAGGCUUGAGGGAACAACCUGGCUCCCAUCUUAGUUUUGAAGAACUUCAUUGCUGAAAAAUCAAAUGUGCACAUGUUCCCUAAGGAACGUAUCCAUUCAAAGGCAUGAAAUAUAAACGUAUAUUGUUACGUGCAAAUGCUUUGCACAAGUACAUUUGCUGGAUGCUUUUGGUAUGUUCUUCAAGCAAGUAGUGUCGUUAGCUGUUAAAUUCUUGACUCCUCUGUUAGGCUUGGGACAGAAAUUACACACAAGCUGGUCUAAGAGAUUGGAAACAGGAUCUGGAACACAACAGAAGGAUGGUGCACGUUGAUCCUGAUGGUAAAACAAGCGUACCCGUUAAGAUGACUGCGGGGAAAGUAUCCUGUUUUCAUCUACGCGGCCUGGUGAGUUCCACGGUUUACAUUUGAAAAGUACCUCUUACAGCACAUGUCCUUAGAGCUGAUUUUUUCUAUUAUAUGAUAAGCUUCUCAUGGCUUUUCCCUCCCCCGAUACGUGUGAAGUGGGUCUAGACUUUUGGGGAGAUCACAUGUUUUUCUGUUGGCAAACCACAGGGCGGGUCAGCACUGCUAUUUAGGACACCGUAACGUGCGACUUCUCAGAGCGUGUGACAAAGUGUUCCCGUUGACAUUACACGGUAUUUAGUAUUCCCAGCCCCACAACCAUCGCUAGUUGUGCCAUUGCAUUGCUGCUGCGGCUGUUGCAUUUGUUAGCAGCAGCCCCUGAACUGACAAGCUCCACACGUCUUCAAGGCUCCCAGGAGGCAGUUUCCGGACUGGCAUUAUCACCGACCGACCACGCUGGGCAUGGCUUACGGCGCUAGCAGUGCCGCGGUGCUUGCAGCGGGCAUGCUGACAGCCUCUUAUCCCACGGAGGGCUCCUGACGGUCGGUCCGUUCCCGCUGGGGAUUUAACGAGCCCUUUGUUGGCAGCGCCUUCCAAGACGGGCAGUUUUCCUGUGCGGGGGCAGCCUCCCGCAUCCGUCCCGCGUCUCCCUGGACAGAGCAGGGCCGGGCAGAAGCCACGCGCUGUGGUCCUGAGGAGAGCAGUGCCGGGGCAGGGUUCAAGUCAGGAUGUUGUCAUCACGCUGGGGCGUUUCUCCGCCUUCCUGCCGAGAGCAUCUCGUCUCCGCUUCCUGUGCUCCAACAGCCAGCGCGGAGGCGAGAGAGGCAGGGAGGCGGUGAGGGGAUGGGAACAUGAGCAAGGCAGAUGCCAGUGCUGUGGGCCCCACGGGGGGGGGGUGGGCGGCGUUGCCGCAGGGAUUUUUCCCUGGGGCCGGAGGCUGCUUGUGACAGUGGAGGGAGCGGGGCUCUCAUCUGACGGUCGGGUGCGAGCACGCUGGAACGAUUCAAACGAGGCAAAGCACAGGCUCUGCGCCCCAAACUGGAAAGGUGUCGCUGCAUUCGAGUUGUUCUCGGUUCGUUCCUGCGCAGCGUUGAACCGUGUUCACGCUCGGUGACAAAGCUCGUUCACCCUGCGUGAUGAAGUACGUUUACACACAACAGUGAAGCACGUGGACACACAACGAAGUGUGUGCACACAAACAGCGAAGCCUGUUCACGCGCAGCAGCGAGCGGUCUAACUGUUGUUAUGCGUGAGCUCGCUGAGAGCAACCGAGAUGAAGCAGAGGAGAGGCCCCACACGCCAAACUGGAAAGGUUUUGCUCUGGUUCAAUCCUCAGCUCGUUCACAGGCAGCAGUUAAAGUGUGUUCACACUCAAUGAUGAACACUGAACUCUGACUCAAGGACAGAAGCCCAGGGGCGUGGAGGUCUGAGUGAGUACCCCGUCCCAGGGACCCCGUGGCCAAGGCCAACACUGUAUGGUGUCAGAAGUGACCUGUCAGAGUAGGCAGACCAAAGGCUCUCUGCAGAAGCAAGCUUGCAUACAGUUGAGCAGAAGCAAAGCUGCCAUAGCACUUUGCAAAAGCAAAGCAAACCACCGGUGCAGUUUGCUCCACAGGAGGGCCAUCAAGCUGCAAAAGGGCAAAGUUUGCAAACGAUGCGGAAGCACACGCAAGCCUAGAUCCUGCCCAGCUUUUGGAGAAACCUGUUACAAAUGCUCUGGAGCGAACCACUUUGCAGAAAUGUGCAAAUCAAAGGGAGAGGCUCCAAAAUCCGCAAAAGGAGUCAGUACCCUCUACAUGGGCGCAGUGUCUGCCAAGCAGCACUCACCGACCGUUGAUAAGCAGAGUGCCUGCGAUAGCGCAGGUACAGCACAGGAGUUUUGAUACGUUACAGUCUGCCUGGCCACUGACUCCCCAGCCCAGCCCAGCCCAGCCCAGCCCCUGGCUUCUUGACUUUUCAUCCCAUCCAGGAAGAGCACACACCAAGUGCUGAAACCUCCCUAGCCUGACGAAGGGUUUUUGAACCCGAAAGCUUGCUUAAUAACUAUUCUCCAACUAUUUGGGUUGGUCUAAUACAAGAUAUCAAAUUCACCCAAGGAACCUUGUCUGCCUAUGUCCUUAGCCCAACACGGCUACAACCUACACCCCUGGUAUAGCACAGUGAUGACCGCUGGCUUGCCAGCUUAUUUGAAGUUAGAUACUGGAGCGGAGGCAAACGCUAUUCCGGUAGCUGUAGCAAAGGCUUUGCAGGGAAAACUGCAAGGCUCAAACUCAUGUUACAUUAGUCACAUUUGGCGGUGCACCCAUGAAACCAAAAGGUGCAGGCAUUGCAGGCUGCAAAUCUGGUGCUAAUGAAUCUGAUGUACCUUUCUACCUAACCGACGAUAGCGACCCAUCAGUACCUGGUAGGGUGGCUUGCACCACGUUAGACCUCAUCAGACGAGUCCACGGAAUGGCCCCGGCAAUACCCGCAACCAAGGCGGACCUUCUCAAACUAUGUCCGGACGUUUUAAAAGGGGUGGGCCAAUUUCCCGGUACCUACCAUAUCUGUGUCGACCCGGCAGUACCACCAGCGGUGCACGGGUGUAGAAAAAUUCCCUGUGCAACCCUAGGCACGUAGAAGACUGCCCUCGAAACGCUGGAAGCUGUGAGAGUCCUUACGAAGCAAAAUCUUAAAAUCUUGAGGACCUGGACUUCUUCAGCUGUGACAUCACAAACCUGAAGGAUUACAGGGAAAGGAUUUUUGAGCUGCUUCAGGAGAUCACCUACCUGGAUUGAUUUGAUCAGGAAGAAGGGGAUGAGGAGGAUGAAGCAGAUGAAGAUGAAGCUGGUCCACCAGGAGAGUACAAACAAGAUGAAGAUGGUGGAGGUUCAGAUUUGGGGGAGGGGGAAAAGGAGGAAGAAGCUGGCCUUUCGUACCUGAUGAUGGACAAGAUCCAGGUAGGACUUACCCUAUUCUACUGUAAGGCUCAGGAUUUUCUUGAUACUAUCUAGCUAUAAACGUGUAAUAUUUUAAACGUGUAUAAGCAUAAUCAUGUAAAUCCAGUAUCAUAUGUGAGCGAUAGAGUACUUUAGAGAGAGACCUUUUACUAUCAAAGAAGUGCGUUACAGUAGGGGAACCACCGCUCUUUGGUAUUCUCCGUUACCUUGCUCAACAUGAAAUGCUGCAAGAUUCAUUACUUCACGGCCUUGUAGAAUUAGUGUCAUUCUGCACCAGAUCACCAAGUCCGAUUUGGAGGAGAACAUGGCCGAAACAAAUCCAGCUGCUCUACCAGGAUGCUCACAAGUGCCUGGGGCACUUCAGCCUUGAGAGCCAUGCCCUCACCAUGCAGAUCUGCAGGUUGUCAGGUGUGGGGCUGGGGCUUCCAGGCAGGGGGGAGAGGGUGAGUAUGGAGGAGCUAGGGCCUGAGGGUGUAGGGAGCUGAUCAGGAUGUGAGGGCUGAGGCAAAGGGGAGAGAGGCUGGGAAUCCAGGAGUGAGGGCUGGCCACUGAGGAAGAAGUCAGGGAGAGGCUGGAGCUGUGGCCCUGGGAGUGCCGUGGGUCUGGCUAUGCAGGGGAGAGCUGGGGCAGGGAGUGGAGACUUGCCCUGGGUGGGAGCGCAUUGCCCUUGCCCUGGGUAGGAGCACAGGACCUUGAGCUCCUCUUAGUGGAGGGAGGUGGGUGGGAAGUUGGAUCCUGGCAUUUUGGGGAAGGAGAAGGGAUUGGACGCUCCUUUCACCCCACUUAUCUCAGGGGCCUUUUCUUUCCUAGCCAGGGGGGCAGAAAACCCAUGUGAUGUUUGCUGAGCUGACCUGCAGGGAGCCUGAUGGACCCAGGGAAUGGGAACGGGGCUGUGUCGGGUUUGCUGCUCUGGGAAGGAAGCAAGUUAGAGCAGAGCAGGCGUGAGGACCAGGACUUGCAGGUUGUGCCCUGCUCUGGCUCUUCGAAAGGAGUGCUGUCCAGCAUGCCAUAGUGAGGGGCAUGGUUUGGGAGGACUCCUGGGUCCUGUUUCUAGCUGAGGGAAGGAGGGCAGGGGGUGGGAGGAAGGCUCUGUGGCUCAGGACUCGUGGCUUCUUUUUGGGAUCUGUCACUUCCCCAGAAUGAACCCACAAAUGAUCUGUGCAUUGAAUCAAUUGAUCCCUUGGGUGAUGCUGUCAGCACGUACAUGGAGGUGAGUGGAAGCAGUGCGGUGGGAGGUGUCCACUGCCCUGAUCAGAGGAGGCCAGGGUUGGGGGAAUACUGGGCCCAUGGAUCGGAUUGAAGGGUGGAUGGCGAUACUGGGCUGGGGUGGCCUCAUGGGUCCCAUCUGUCAGGCAGAGGAAGGUAGUAAUAGGUGCAUGGGUCAGAGCUAGGCUAGCAUGGGGCUGCAGGGAAGCAGAAGGGUUACUUGGCUGGGGGUGGACCCGUGGGUCCCACGGGAGGGUUUGUAUACUACAAGCAGGGCCCUCCUGCCAGGGUCCCCGUUGGGUCCCAGUCGUGCCCUUCCCUGCCCAGCCCUGUCCUGGCAGUGGCUGAUGGGGAAAACGUGGGGUCUUUCCAUUCUCCUUCAGUAUGGAAAUGACCUCUGCUUUGCCUCCCAGCCCGCUCAUGCUUUGCCUCCUGUCUCUUCACAGCGGUUAUCAAUGUGAGCCAUGAUGCACGACUGAUCACGCAGACCAGCUGCCAGCUCUGGGUGGUGGAGGAGCAGUCCAUCAGCCAGAUCAACGGUGACUUCGACUGCAAACGGGAGGUGCUGGAGGCCUCGGGCCAGGUCAGCAUUAACUGGCCCCGGGAGUGACCUUGCUGUGGGGAGGCUCCUCGAGGACCUGCCCAUCCCCUCUCAGAGACCUGCCUGCACAGCUUCACGUGCACCCACACCCAAAGGCCUCCGUGUAGAGGGGGCAGGGUCACAGGCAUGGUUGUGGGUUGAACUUUGAAGAUGUGGGGUAGGGGCCUAAUGCAAGACAUGUUUAUUUUCAGAGCUGUUCUUCUACACCUGCUGCUUUCCCAGGAGAGAGAGACUUAAUUUAUAUGAAUGGGAGGGAGGGGGUUGUACUGGAAUGGUCUGUUUUAGGCAGGAGUGAGGGCUGUCCUUGUCCCAUUGCUGGGUUCCCUGCCCCCCAGUCUGGAGAAUGACGUGAGCCUUGUUUUGCAUCCACCCAAGAAGAUUAUAUUAAAAUAUAAUAAAGGAAAA